UCUAAGAAGAUAAGGGAGGGACGUUUACGUUGGUAUGGACAUGUUCGGCGUAAAUGUAACUCAGCACCGGUUAGGAGAGUAGAACACAUAUCGGUUCGGGGUAAGAGAAAGAGGGGUCGGCCUCGUCGGACAUGGGCUGAUCAAUUAAGUUUGGACAUGGGAGCCUUAAAUCUCACGGGUGAUAUGACAUUAGACAAGAAUGAUUGGAGACGGCGUAUUAGAGUGGUUGAGACUAGGUCUCGUGGCUCACAGAGAUUAUGAGGGUUAUGGUGUUCAGUUUUAAGGGAGGAUUCAGCUCAGUUAUUACCAGAUGCAUUCGCGCCAAUCUAAAAUGUUUGGGUAAGUCCCAUGUGAAGAAGGCCAUGGGCUAAGGUAUUAUAUUCUUAUUAUAGCACACACUAGUUUAUUUGUUGUGCACUAAGCCGGGGGUCUUCACGGAAACAGCCUCUCUAUUUUAAGGGUAGGGGCAAGGCUGCGUACAUCUUAC
rnacentral:lncRNA from 1 species